GUCGAACGCUGGCGGCGUGCUUAACACAUGCAAGUCGAACGGAAAGGCCCUGCUUUUGUGGGGUGCUCGAGUGGCGAACGGGUGAGUAGCACGUGAGUAACCUGCCCUUGACUUUGGGAUAACUUCAGGAAACUGGGGCUAAUACCGGAUAGGAGCUCCUGCUGCAUGGUGGGGGUUGGAAAGUUUCGGCGGUUGGGGAUGGACUCGCGGCUUAUCAGCUUGUUGGUGGGGUAGUGGCUUACCAAGGCUUUGACGGGUAGCCGGCCUGAGAGGGUGACCGGCCACAUUGGGACUGAGAUACGGCCCAGACUCCUACGGGAGGCAGCAGUGGGGAAUAUUGCACAAUGGGCGGAAGCCUGAUGCAGCAACGCCGCGUGCGGGAUGACGGCCUUCGGGUUGUAAACCGCUUUCGCCUGUGACGAAGCGUGAGUGACGGUAAUGGGUAAAGAAGCACCGGCUAACUACGUG
rnacentral:rRNA from 1 species